AUGCUUCUGGAGCAAAACUUAAUUACUGUCAAUAUGCAGAAACACUCUUUGAUAUUCUGGUGGCUGGUGGAAUUGUGGCCCCUGGUUUUUAACAAGUUAAUCAGGUUCUACAAAUACCUGGAGAAAGGUAUGAAGUAAAAAAGUUGCUGCUUUAAGAUAAAGAGUUUUUCAGAGUUGGAGAGGAACAAGCUGACUAUGUUAACUUGUGUUCUUCAGACUACUGGAACACUUAAUGCAUCCAUUCUCAAUAACCUUUAUAAUGAGAAUCUGGUUAAAGAAGGCGUUUCAGCAGCUUUUGCUGUAAAGCUCUUUAAAUCACAGACAAACGAAAAAGAUAUCAAUGCAGUAGCUGCAAGUCUUUGGAAAGUCAGCAUGGAUAACAGACUGAUGGAACUCUUUCCUGCCAAUAAGCAAAGCGUUGAACAUUUCACAAAGUAUUUUACUGAAGCAGGCUUGAAAGAGCUUUCAGAGUAUGUUCGGAAUCAGCAAACCAUGGGAACUCGGAAGGAGCUCCAGAAGGAACUUCAACAGAUGUCCCGUGGUGAUCCAUUUAAGAAUACAAUUUUAUAUGUCAAGGAGGAGAUGAAAAAAAACAGGAGCUUGUAGCAGAGCAAGCCAGCAAGCACUUGAAGCAAUACAGCCCUAUACUUGCUGCCUUUCCCACUCAAGGGCAGUCUGAGCUGACUCUGGUACUGAAGAUUCCAGAGUGUUGCUAUGACAACAUUCAUUUCAUGAAAGCCUUCCAGAAAAUAGUGGUGCUGUUUUAUAAAGCUGAAGUCCUGAGUGAAGAGCCCAUUCUGAAGUGGUAUAAAGAUGCACACGUUGCAAUGGGAAACAGUAUCUUCCUUGAGCAAAUGAAAAAGUUUGUAGAGUGGCUCACAAAUGUUGAAGAAGUAUUUGAGUCUGAAGGUGAAGAAGGUGACUGAAUUU